rnacentral:rRNA from 1 species
CAGCCGCCGGGAAUACGUAGGUGGCAAGCGUUGUCCGGAAUUAUUGGGCGUAAAGGGCUCGCAGGCGGUUUCUCAAGUCUGAUGUGAAAGCCCCCGGCUCAACCGGGGAGGGUCAUUGGAAACUGGGAAACUUGAGUGCAGAAGAGGAGAGUGGAAUUCCACGUGUAGCGGUGAAAUGCGUAGAGAUGUGGAGGAACACCAGUGGCGAAGGCGACUCUCUGGUCUGUAACUGACGCUGAGGAGCGAAAGCGUGGGGAGCGAACAGGAUUAGAUACCCGUGUAGUCCCUGUCUCUUAUACAC